AGCCGUGAGGCGGCGGCGGUGCGCGCGGCGGGGCCCCGCGUGGCGGCAGGUGGGUGAGGGGGCACCGGCACCGCCGCGGGGCCCACCCGCCCUGUCCCACCGGGCUCCCACCUGCUCGGGCGGCUGCUGCUGCUGCUGCUGCUGCUGCUGCUGCUGCUGCUGCUGCUGCUGCUGCUGCACAGUCUCCGAACGGCCCCCUUCAGCCCCCGCUCCUUCCUCUCCGCUCUUACCCAUCCCGCCCCCGCCGUCUCCCUCCCCACCUCAGCGGCCAUUGCGCGGCCGCCUCCGGGCCCCCUCCCAACCUCCCCCGGCCCCAUCGUGUGGGGAUAGCCGCGGUGCUGCUCCGUGCCAGACGCUGCAGCGGUUUCCCGGGCCUGUCCCGCGUCAGUAAUUGCGGGGGCUGGACUGGGGAGAGUGUUGGUUGUCUUUGCGGUGCUGCGGUUCCUGAGGCGGUCGGUGUCUUCUCGCUCUCGUCAGAGGCGCUCCCCGCCACCAUGUUUGUCCUAGUAGAGAUGACUGACACAGUAAGAAUUCCUCCCUGGCAGUUUGAAAGGAAACUGAACGAGUCCAUUGCUGAAGAGCUAAACAAGAAGUUGGCCAAUAAGGUUGUAUACAACGUUGGCCUCUGCAUCUGUCUGUAUGAUAUCACAAAGCUGGAAGAUUCCUACAUCUUCCCCGGAGAUGGCGCAUCACAUACCAAAGUGCAUUUCCGGUACGUGGUCUUCCACCCCUUCCUGGAUGAGAUUCUGAUUGGACAGAUCAAGAGCUGCAGUCAGGACGGCGUUCACGUUUCGAUUGGAUUCUUUGACGAUAUUGUCAUCCCACCAGAAUCCCUCCAGCAGCCAGCUAAGUUGGCCAGCGAUGAGGCAGAGCAGGUGUGGGUGUGGGAAUAUGAGACAGAAGAAGGGGCCCACGACCUUUACAUGGACAUUGGGGAGGAGAUCCGCUUCCGAGUUGUGGAUGAGACAUUUGUCGAUACGUCGCCGACGGGUCCGAGCUCUGCGGAGGCUUCCACUUCCAGUGCCCCAGAAGAAGGCCAGAAGAAAGAGGCUCCCUACACCCUUGUGGGAUCAAUCAGCGAGCCAGGCUUAGGCCUCCUGUCGUGGUGGACAAACAGUUAGCUGCCAUCGGAGCCCGCUCCGCACAAAGUCUUUCCGGUGGAUGUUUGGGGGAUAAUGGGAUCCCGCUGGUGCUCGUUGCUCCUCUGAAGCUGAAUGAGAAGCUAGACCUGCCAGUCUCUGUUUUCCCCUUCAGCUUCCAACCUGCCAGAGUGAGACAGUUGCUUUCAAGAAAUGUCUUCGCUGAUCUGUAGAAGUGAAUUUACAGGCACAAAAAGCCUUGAGCACAGCAGCAACAAACUCAGCUGGAGCUUUGGUCUCCUGCCCUGGAGGAAAAACUGGGGAGGUCUUCACUUGCCUGGAUUAAGAAGGGAGUUGACUUCAGUGAGUGAAAGCAGAAGAGAACGCCUGUCAAGAUGUAUUGCUUCCUUAGGCUGAGAGCUUGAUCUCAGAGGAGCAGAAACCUGCCCUUCUUUUGAUGGGAAAUGGAGGAAAACCAGCAAAAGACAGGAGUUAAUAGAGGACUGGACAGAAUAACCCCACCUGGUUCUGACUUGCUCCCGAGCCCCCCGGCCCACUGCUGCCAAGCCCUGGUCUGGCUGUGGGACCGCAGCACACAGCCCCGUGCCGGUGGCGAGCAGCGCAGCGGCACGUCCCCGCCCCCGCGAGGCCAAUCGAGGACAGACACCCGGAGCGUUACCUUCCCGGGCGCGAAGUCUGCCAGCCCCACGAUGCUCAGCUUGUCCACGGGAUGAAUCUUGUUGUAGUCUGCUGGAUCAGCAAAAGUCAGGGGCAGUAGCCCUUGCUUCUUCAGGUUGGUUUCUGCAGAGAGCAAAGCACCAAGCACACUUGUAACACCACACUGCAGGGGACCAGGAGUGCUUUCCAGCAACAGGUUGCAGGGGUAACCCGACUCACCGUGGAUCCUGGCAAAACUCUUGGUGAUGAUGACCCUGCCCCCCAAGUGACGUGGUUCCAAUGCUGCGUGCUCCCGGCUUGAUCCCUCGCCGUAGUUCUCAUCUCCAAUAACUGCCCAUUUGACACCCAUUUUCUGUGACAAAAGAAACAGACUUCUAUUUCUGCAGCAGCUCAAGUGGGGAAUUAACAA